GACGAACGCUGGCGGCGUGCCUAAUACAUGCAAGUAGGACGCAGUUGCGAACGGGUGAGUAACGCGUAGGUAACUACCUAUUAGAGGGGGAUAACUAUUGGCAACGAUAGCUAAUACCGCAUACUAGUAGAUGGACCUGCGUUGUAUUAGCUAGUAGGUUGGGUAAUGGCCUACCUAGGCAACGAUACAUAGCCGACCUGAGACGGUGAUCGGCCACACGGGGACUGAGACACGGCCCAGACUCCGAAGGGAGGCAUCAGUAGGGAAGCUUAGGCAAUGGGAGGAACCCUGACCGAGCAACGACGCGGGAGUGAAGAAGGUUUUCGGAUGAUAAAGCUGUGGUGUUAAGGAAGCGGUACUUAACCAGAAAGGGACGGCUAACUACGUGCCAGCAGCCGCGGUAAUUC
rnacentral:rRNA from 1 species